rnacentral:rRNA from 1 species
CCCUUAGAUGUCCUGGGCUGCACGCGCGCUACACUGGAAGUUACGGAUUGAGAUACUACCUUGUCCGAAAUGGUCCGGGUAAUCACCUAAAAGCUUGUCAUAAUUGGAAUGGAUUAUUGUAACUAGUAAUCCUGAACGAGGAAUUCCUAGUAAGUCCCAGUCAACAGCUGGUACUGAUUACGUCCCUGCCCUUUGUACACACCGCCCGUCGCUACUACUGAUUGGACAUUUAAGCAAGAUUUUUAAACACUGACAGUGUGUAGUUCACGCUAUACUACAGUGAGAAGAAGAAGAUCGAGCUUACUUGUCUAGAGGAAGUAAAAGUCGUAACA